UACGAAGGGGACUAGCGUUGUUCGGAUUUACUGGGCGUAAAGCGCGCGUAGGCGGAUAUCUAAGUCAGGGGUGAAAUCCCAGGGCUCAACCCUGGAACUGCCUUUGAUACUGGAUGUCUGGAGAUCGGGAGAGGUGAGUGGAAUUCCGAGUGUAGAGGUGAAAUUCGUAGAUAUUCGGAGGAACACCAGAAGCGAAGGCGGCUCACUGGCCCGAUACUGACGCUGAGGCGCGAAAGCGUGGGGAGCAAAC
rnacentral:rRNA from 1 species